AGAACUUUAGUAUACCACACAUUACAUGAUUCUGUCAGAAUCAAAACAUAGAACCCCCUAUAAGUUCUA
rnacentral:tRNA from 1 species